UGAGAACACCUGGAACUACUGCUCA
rnacentral:piRNA from 1 species